rnacentral:rRNA from 1 species
ACGAACGCUGGCGGCGUGCUUAACACAUGCAAGUCGAACGGUGAAGCGCCUUCCUUUUUGGUGGGUGUGGAUGAGUGGCGAACGGGUGAGUAACACGUGAGUAACCUGCCCCCUUCUUCUGGAUAACCGCAUGAAAGUGUGGCUAAUACGGGAUAUUCUGGGUCUGUCGCAUGAUGGGUCUGGGAAAGAUAUUGUUUCGGUGGGGGAUGGGCUCGCGGCCUAUCAGCUUGUUGGUGGGGUGAUGGCCUACCAAGGCGGUGACGGGUAGCCGGCCUGAGAGGGUGGACGGUCACACUGGGACUGAGCCACGGCCCAGACUCCUACGGGAGGCAGCAGUGGGGAAUAUUGCACAAUGGGCGCAAGCCUGAUGCAGCGACGCCGCGUGAGGGAUGGAGGCCUUCGGGUUGUGAACCUCUUUCGCCAGUGAAGCAGGCCUGCCUCGUUUGUGGGUGGGUUGACGGUAGCUGGAUAAGAAGCGCCGGCUAACUACGUG